UGGGGAAUAUUGGACAAUGGGGGCAACCCUGAUCCAGCAAUGCCGCGUGUGUGAAGAAGGCCUGCGGGUUGUAAAGCACUUUCAGUAGAGAAGAAAAGCUUACGGCUAAUAUCCGUGAGUCUUGACGUUACCUACAGAAGAAGCACCGGCUAACUCCGUGCCAGCAGCCGCGGUAAUACGGAGGGUGCGAGCGUUAAUCGGAAUUACUGGGCGUAAAGCGCGCGUAGGCGGUUAGAUCAGUCGGAUGUGAAAGCCCCGAGCUUAACUUGGGAAUUGCAUUCGAUACUGUCUAGCUAGAGUAUGGGAGAGGGAAGCGGAAUUUCCGGUGUAGCGGUGAAAUGCGUAGAUAUCGGAAGGAACAUCAGUGGCGAAGGCGGCUUCCUGGACCAAUACUGACGCUGAGGUGCGAAAGCGUGGGUAGCGAACAGGAUUAGAUACCCCCGUAGUCC
rnacentral:rRNA from 1 species